GUCUCGAUAGCUAAGUGGUAUAGCAUGCGAUUGCAGUGGGAAACCAAAUAUCGCAGGGUCCGGUGUUCGAACCACCGUCGGGACU